CCUACGGGAGGCAGCAGUGAGGAAUAUUGGUCAAUGGACGCAAGUCUGAACCAGCCAUGCCGCGUGAAGGAUGACGGCUCUAUGAGUUGUAAACUUCUUUUAUACGAGGGUAAUAUCAGAUACGUGUAUCUGCUUGAAAGUAUCUUACGAAUAAGGAUCGGCUAACUCCGUGCCAGCAGCCGCGGUAAUACGGAGGAUCCGAGCGUUAUCCGGAUUUAUUGGGUUUAAAGGGUGCGUAGGCGGUUUUAUAAGUUAGAGGUGAAAAUUUGCGGCUCAACUGCGGAAGUGCCUUUAAUACUGUAUGACUAGAGUACAGAUGAGGUAGGCGGAAUGUAUGGUGUAGCGGUGAAAUGCGUAGAGAUCAUACAGAACCCCGAUUGCGAAGGCAGCUUACCAAACUAUAUCUGACGUUGAGGCACGAAAGCGUGGGUAGCAAACAGGAUUAGAUACCCCAGUAGUC
rnacentral:rRNA from 1 species